AACGCUGGCGGCGUGCCUAAUACAUGCAAGUCGAGCGAAUGGAUUAAGAGCUUGCUCUUAUGAAGUUAGCGGCGGACGGGUGAGUAACACGUGGGUAACCUGCCCAUAAGACUGGGAUAACUCCGGGAAACCGGGGCUAAUACCGGAUAACAUUUUGAACUGCAUGGUUCGAAAUUGAAAGGCGGCUUCGGCUGUCACUUAUGGAUGGACCCGCGUCGCAUUAGCUAGUUGGUGAGGUAACGGCUCACCAAGGCAACGAUGCGUAGCCGACCUGAGAGGGUGAUCGGCCACACUGGGACUGAGACACGGCCCAGACUCCUACGGGAGGCAGCAGUAGGGAAUCUUCCGCAAUGGACGAAAGUCUGACGGAGCAACGCCGCGUGAGUGAUGAAGGCUUUCGGGUCGUAAAACUCUGUUGUUAGGGAAGAACAAGUGCUAGUUGAAUAAGCUGGCACCUUGACGGUACCUAACCAGAAAGCCACGGCUAACUACGUGCCAGCAGCCGCGGUAAUACGUAGGUGGCAAGCGUUAUCCGGAAUUAUUGGGCGUAAAGCGCGCGCAGGUGGUUUCUUAAGUCUGAUGUGAAAGCCCACGGCUCAACCGUGGAGGGUCAUUGGANACUGGGAGACUUGAGUGCAGAAGAGGANAGUGGAAUUCCAUGUGUAGCGGUGAAAUGCGUAGAGAUAUGGAGGAACACCAGUGG
rnacentral:rRNA from 1 species